CAGGUGCAGGCAGCCACCGGCGCUGCCGCUGGCCGCGCGACGCCCGGCUGUGCCGGGGCCGCCGGAGGCUAGUGGCCGUGUGGGGGCGCCCCCAGGUCCCGCCGCUGCCAGGCGCCCAGCUUUUCCAGAUCUCAGCCCUCCGGAGUGCAGUCUCCGAAAAGACUGGAGGUCUUAGGCACCCCAGAGAAAGCAGGCACUAGCCGAGCAGCCGGCGGCGCGGAGCUGCGAGUGCAUGGAGCCGCAAGGUGCCGCGCGGACUCGGCGGCGGCGUGGCUGAAGCGCUCAGAGCCGGAGGCAGCGCGGUGGAGGGAGGAGCGCAGCCGGGCGGUGACCAGCCCGGGGGCCGCGGCGCAGGCUCUAAUAGGGCUCAGCUUGGCCCUGGAUGGAGAUCUGGAUGAAGAACUUAAAGAGAAUGGCUUGGGGAAUAAGAGAAAGGGAGAAGGGUUAGAAGAAUUGGAGGGAAAAUGCUGGCAUCUUCAUCCUUUGUGAAACCCAAUGCAGACAGCAUCACAAGCAACAUCGUCCCCUCUACAGGCAGGACCAGGCAUCUCUCUGCUGCCCUCUGCUGACUGGGUGCGUUCAGUAUCCCUAUUUUUACACGUGAGCAGUUUAGAAGCACAGCAGGCUCCUGUGACCCCUGGGGUCUGAGGUCUUUGCCACUACUUUCUGCUAGUCUCUCCAUUUAUUCAAGCUCUUAUUUUAUGCUCCUCAAAUAGUAUUCUGGUAUUCUUCCUCCCCAUACUGCAAAAUUCUUGCUAAAAUUAUUCCUUGGUGUUUUGUAUUUUGGAUUCUGUUGUAAAUGCGAUCUAUUCCUGGAGACUCUUGGUCAAUUUUUCUUUUAUAUAACCCAAACUUCCUCAUAUUAUACAAUGAAUGAUUUUACCUCUCUUGGGAAACAUGUGGGAUUGGCAAACUGUGACUAUGGACUCUGCUACUUAUACAAGAUUAUGCAAGAUGAUUUCUUAAAAGCCCUCGAGAUGCCCAAGAUCUGUGUGUUCCUUUUGCAAAAGAGAAAUUUAAUAAUUGGGAAGAAUAAAAUGCUUACA